UACGUAGGGUGCAAGCGUUAAUCGGAAUUACUGGGCGUAAAGCGUGCGCAGGCGGUUCGUUAAGUCAGAUGUGAAAGCCCCGGGCUCAACCUGGGAACUGCAUUGAAACUGGCGGCUUGAGUGUGGCAGAGGGGGUGGAAUUCCGCGUGUAGCAGUGAAAUGCGUAGAGAUGCGGAGGAACACCGAUGGCGAAGGCAGCCCCCUGGGCCAACACUGACGCUCAGGCACGAAAGCGUGGGGAGCAACAGG
rnacentral:rRNA from 1 species